rnacentral:lncRNA from 1 species
AUCAGAACAGGUAGAAGGCCAGCUGGAAGUUCGUUGAGCAGGUGAUAGGCAGCAGGUCCGAGCAGAUGAUCCACGGAGGGGGGGUUGUACCUGCAGGUGCUCCGAUGCCUAAGUCAGUAAAGGUAGAGAGCAAAAGAGAUACUAGAGAGAAGUUAGAGAGAGAGAGUAAUUGUGAUAAUGAAUAGUAUUCUGCCUUGCUCUCCCAAGAGGGAGAGUAUUUAUAGCCCCCAGCUCUGGGCCAAAGGUCCUCUUAGUGGGCUGGACUAGCCAAGGCCCAUUAAGAGGGACUGCCAAGAUAUUACCCUUAGAUAGUGGGUANN